rnacentral:rRNA from 1 species
UACGUAGGGUGCGAGCGUUGUCCGGAAUUAUUGGGCGUAAAGAGCUUGUAGGCGGUUUGUCGCGUCUGCUGUGAAAAUCCGGGGCUCAACCCCGGACUUGCAGUGGGUACGGGCAGACUAGAGUGUGGUAGGGGAGACUGGAAUUCCUGGUGUAGCGGUGAAAUGCGCAGAUAUCAGGAGGAACACCGAUGGCGAAGGCAGGUCUCUGGGCCACUACUGACGCUGAGAAGCGAAGCAUGGGAGCGAACAGG